rnacentral:rRNA from 1 species
AGUCGAGCGCGCCUUCGGGCGAGCGGCGGACGGGUUAGUAACGCGUGGGAACGUGCCCAGAUCUACGGAAUAGCCACUGGAAACGGUGAGUAAUACCGUAUACGCCCUUCGGGGGAAAGAUUUAUCGGAUUUGGAUCGGCCCGCGUUAGAUUAGGUAGUUGGUGGGGUAACGGCCUACCAAGCCUACGAUCUAUAGCUGGUUUUAGAGGAUGAUCAGCAACACUGGGACUGAGACACGGCCCAGACUCCUACGGGAGGCAGCAGUGGGGAAUCUUGGACAAUGGGGGCAACCCUGAUCCAGCCAUGCCGCGUGAGUGAAGAAGGCCCUAGGGUCGUAAAACUCUUUCGCCUGUGAUGAUAAUGACAGUAGCAGGUAAAGAAACCCCGGCUAACUCCGUGCCAGCAGCCGCGGUAAUACGGAGGGGGUUAGCGUUGUUCGGAAUUACUGGGCGUAAAGCGCACGUAGGCGGAUUAGAAAGUUAGAGGUGAAAUCCCGGGGCUCAACCCCGGAACUGCCUUUAAAACUACUAGUCUAGAGUUCGAGAGAGGUGAGUGGAAUUCCGAGUGUAGAGGUGAAAUUCGUAGAUAUUCGGAGGAACACCAGUGGCGAAGGCGGCUCACUGGCUCGAUACUGACGCUGAGGUGCGAAAGUGUGGGGAGCAAACAGGAUUAGAUACCCUGGUAGUCCACACCGUAAACGAUGAAUGCCAGUCGUCGGGUAGUAUACUAUUCGGUG